rnacentral:rRNA from 1 species
UACGUAGGGUGCAAGCGUUGUCCGGAAUUAUUGGGCGUAAAGAGCUCGUAGGCGGUCUGUCGCGUCUGGUGUGAAAAAUCCAGGGCUUAACCCUGGACCUGCAUCGGGUACGGGCAGACUAGAGUGCGGUAGGGGAGAUCGGAAUUCCUGGUGUAGCGGUGAAAUGCGCAGAUAUCAGGAGGAACACCGGUGGCGAAGGCGGAUCUCUGGGCCGUAACUGACGCUGAGGAGCGAAAGCAUGGGGAGCGAACAGG